GGAAAAAAAAGUGCGCUAGGUUGAAAAUCUUGAAAGAGGUGGCCUAGGCAAAAGUUAGGACGUAAAAAAAAAAGAAGAGCCCGCUAGGUUGAAAACUUCGAAAGAGGCGGUCAAGGCAAAAGCUAGGACAUAUAUAAAAAUAUCACCCAGCCUGAACAACAGUAUGACUUGAUCCUCUUCAACAGAGUACAUAGGCAGCUUAGAGUAUCAUUCUAAGUUCAAUCGCAUAAGUUCAAAGGAUACAUGUUGCCCCAAUUGUUGUUCGAAUGAAGUGUGAAGGAACACAAGAUCAAGCUGAAAUGUCAUCCUCUUGUUGAACUUGAUCUUCUUUGAUUUAAAGGGGGCAACCCUACUUGGUAAAUUGAUAUCUUCAAGGGGCUGAUUUUAGAAGGAUGUCAAGUAUUUGCAUUGAAGUCCAGAGAUUCCUUAUGUCUUUAGGUUUGCCAAACCUUCAAGUUUGUUGGGCUCAAAGUCCGCCCUCUGCCUAAAAGAAAGGGAUGGAAGAUAAGCGAGGCAUCAAAAGGAAACAUGGAACUAUAACUUUCCAAUCUUAAGGUGGACAUAUGAGUCCCUUCGCAUAUUAAGUUGGUCUCUCCGGUAGUCGGGUCAUUUUGAGAGUAAUCUCUCCAAGAAUCUCCAAGAAUCAGAUCAUUUUGAGAGUAAUCUCUCCAAGAAUCGAAUUUUUUUAGAGUAAUCUCUCCAGUAGUCGGGCCAUUUUGAGAGUAAUCUCUCCAAGAAUCGGACCAUUUUUAAAGUAAUCUCUCCAUGAAUCGCGUCAUUUUGAGAGUAAUCUCUCCAAUAAUUGGGCAAGGAUAAGUACUCUUACGCUCACACUCCAACCCCAAGAUUAUCUUCUUCAUGCGUGGAUCAUCUUGUUGAAUAAGAACAUAUCUUUCUCGUUUGACCUAUAUAAAAGAAAAAGAUCACAACAAAUAAAUCCCAAGAAAAGAAGAAGAAAUUACAUUCGCAUUAACGCUUUUGAGUACACAAAAAUAGACUCAAGUGACU
rnacentral:lncRNA from 1 species